UGGGUUCAAGAGGCAGCCGCCCUCUCUGUCUAGUUUUUGAGAAGCAAGACAGAGAGGGAGGAAAGUCCGGACUCCUGGGCAAGCGUAACGGUUAACAACCGUCCGUCGUAAGGCGAGGAUGCAGAGCCACAGAGACCACAACUCAACUCCGAAAGGAGAUAGAGGGUGAAAAGAGGCAAUCUCUACGCGGAGCAAGCUCAAAUAGGUCCUGCAAUAGACAGUCCAUCUUAAACAUGCAGGACGGGUAGAGCGCUGGAUCCUGAUAGCAAUAUCAGGGCAAGAUAAAUGGUUGCCUAAUACAGAAUCCGGCUUAUCUUGAGCCUACUAU
rnacentral:RNase_P_RNA from 8 species